GACGUAGGGCGCGAGCGUUGUCCGGAAUUAUUGGGCGUAAAGAGCUCGUAGGCGGUCUGUCGCGUCGGGAUGUGAAAACCCAGGGCUCAACCCUGGGCCUGCAUUCGAUACGGGCAGACUAGAGUUCGGUAGGGGAGACUGGAAUUCCUGGUGUGGCGGUGAAAUGCGCAGAUAUCAGGAGGAACACCGGUGGCGAAGGCGGGUCUCUGGACAGUUCCUGACGCUGAGGCGCGAAGGCCAGGGGAGCAAACGGG
rnacentral:rRNA from 1 species